GAUCAUGGCUCAGGAUGAACACUGGCGGCAUGCUUAACACAUGCAAGUCGAGGGGCAGCAUGGUCUUAGCUUGCUAAGGCCGAUGGCGACCGGCGCACGGGUGAGUAACGCGUAUCCAACCUGCCCAUCACUUGGGAAUAACCUUGCGAAAGUAAGACUAAUACCCAAUGAUAUCCCACGAAGGCAUCCGAAUGGGAUUAAAGAUUUAUCGGUGAUGGAUGGGGAUGCGU
rnacentral:rRNA from 1 species